rnacentral:rRNA from 1 species
CCACGCUUUCGCAUCUGAGUGUCAGUAUCUGUCCAGGGGGCCGCUUCGCCACCGGUAUUCCUUUCAGAUCUCUACGCAUUUCACCGCUACACUGAAAUUCUACCCCCCUCUACAGUACUCUAGUCUGCCAGUUUCAAAUGCUAUUCCGAGGUUGAGCCCCGGGCUUUCACAUCUGACUUAACAAACCACCUGCAUGCGCUUUACGCCCAGUAAUUCCGAUUAACGCUCGCACCCUCCGUAUUACCGCGGCUGCUGGCACGGAGUUAGCCGGUGCUUCUUCUGCAGCUAACGUCAAAUCCAUACGCUAUUAACGUAUGAACCCUCCUCACUGCUGAAAGUACUUUACAACCCGAAGGCCUUCUUCAUACACGCGGCAUGGCUACAUCAGGCUUGCGCCCAUUGUGCAAUAUUCCCCACUGCUGCCUCCCGUAGGAGUCUGGACCGUGUCUCAGUUCCAGUGUGGCUGAUCAUCCUCUCAGACCAGCUAGGGAUCGUCGCCUUGGUGAGCCCUUAUCUCACCAACUAGCUAAUCCCACCUAGGCAUAUCCUGACGCGAGAGGCCCGAAGGUCCCCCUCUUUGGCCCGUAGGCAUCAUGCGGUAUUAGCCAUCGUUUCCAAUGGUUAUCCCCCACAUCAGGGCAAUUUCCUAGGCAUUACUCACCCGUCCGCCGCUCGACGCCGUUAUCGUUCCCCGAAGGUUCAGAUAACUCGUUUCCGCUCGACUUGCAUGUGUUAGGCCUGCCGCCAGCGUUCAAUCUGAGCCAGGAUCAAACUCU